rnacentral:rRNA from 1 species
UACGGAAGGCAGCAGUGGGGAAUAUUGCACAAUGGGCGCAAGCCUGAUGCAGCCAUGCCGCGUGUAUGAAGAAGGCCUUCGGGUUGUAAAGUACUUUCAGUCGUGAGGAAGGUGUUAAGGUUAAUAACCUUAGCAAUUGACGUUAGCGACAGAAGAAGCACCGGCUAACUCCGUGCCAGCAGCCGCGGUAAUACGGAGGGUGCGAGCGUUAAUCGGAAUUACUGGGCGUAAAGGGCACGCAGGCGGUUAAUUAAAGUUGGAUGUGAAAUCCCCGGGCUUAACCUGGGAAUGGCAUUCAAGACUGGUUAGCUAGAGUCUUGUAGAGGGGGUAGAAUUCCAUGUGUAGCGGUGAAAUGCGUAGAGAUGUGGAGGAAUACCGGUGGCGAAGGCGGCCCCUGGACAAAGACUGACGCUCAUGUGCGAAAGCGUGGGGAGCAAACAGGAUUAGAUACC